GACGAACGCUGGCGGCGUGCUUAACACAUGCAAGUCGAACGAUGAAGCUGGAGCUUGCUCCAGCGGAUUAGUGGCGAACGGGUGAGUAACACGUGAGCAAUCUGCCCUUGACUCUGGGAUAACUGCGGGAAACUGUAGCUAAUACCGGAUGCGAGGUUUGAAGGCAUCUUCAGAUCUGGAAAGAAUUUCGGUCAAGGAUGAGCUCGCGGCCUAUCAGCUAGUUGGUGAGGUAAUGGCUCACCAAGGCGACGACGGGUAGCCGGCCUGAGAGGGUGACCGGCCACACUGGAACUGAGACACGGUCCAGACUCCUACGGGAGGCAGCAGUGGGGAAUAUUGCACAAUGGGCGAAAGCCUGAUGCAGCAACGACGCGUGAGGGAUGAAGGCCUUCGGGUUGUAAACCUCUUUUAGUAGGGAAGAAGCGAAAGUGACGGUACCUACAGAAAAAGCACCGGCUAACUACGUGCCAGCCGCCGCGGUAA
rnacentral:rRNA from 1 species